rnacentral:rRNA from 1 species
AACGAACGCUGGCGGCAGGCCUAACACAUGCAAGUCGAGCGCCCCGCAAGGGAGGCGGCGGACGGGUGAGUAACGCGUGGGAACGUGCCCUCUUCUACGGAAUAGCCUCGGGAAACUGGGAGUAAUACCGUAUACGCCCUUAGGGGGAAAGGAUUUAUCGGAGGAGGAUCGGCCCGCGUUGGAUUAGGUAGUUGGUGGGGUAAUGGCCUACCAAGCCGACGAUCCAUAGCUGGUUUGAGAGGAUGGUCAGCCACACUGGGACUGAGACACUGCCCAGACACCUACGGGUGGCUGCAGUCGAGAAUCUUCCGCAAUGGGGGAAACCCUGACGGAGCGACGCCGCGUGCAGGAUUAAGG